rnacentral:rRNA from 1 species
UACGUAGGUGGCAAGCGUUGUCCGGAUUUACUGGGCGUAAAGAGCGCGCAGGCGGUCGCUCAAGUCGCGUGUGAAAGCCCCCGGCUCAACUGGGGAGGGUCACGCGAUACUGAUCGACUGGAAGGCAGGAGAGGGUAGUGGAAUUCCCGGUGUAGUGGUGAAAUGCGUAGAUAUUCGCAAGAACACCAGUGGCGAAGGCGGCUCACUGGCCCGGAACUGACGCUGAGGUGCGAAAGCGUGGGGAGCAAACAGG